AAAGCUCACUCUGAGUACCUCCAGAACUAGCUUUCUCCCUGACAAACUAAAGGAAGUUUUGGCCCCUUGACGUCUUUGUGAGGUUGGCAAUCCCCCUGGUCAACCAGAGAACCAACAGGUGAGAUGACAAUGAAAAUAAGGCCCAGUGUACAGCAAAAGGGAUGUAGCAAGACAGAAGUGACUGUGACUCAGAUGUUAUCAAAGACAAGAUGAAGCCUGCCUGAGAACCCUCCUCUUAAACAGCAGGAGCCCAGACCCUGAGCAGGGAGAGAGUCAGGUCCCAGAUGGAGAUGCUGAUCAACUUCAUAGCAUCACCAUGGAGCCAGAUCUGGAAAUUCUCUAGGGGUUGCUGAACAACCCUGUCAUCCCUACCUGACCUCAGCCGCCGAGUCCCUGUGAACACUGUCCGCAAGCAAUCAUCCCGGCGGGGGGGCUUUGUUCUGCAGUCCAAGCCACCUGGAGAAGAACGUGUAAGGUGGAAGUAUGGAGAAAGAUGGCUCACAGAUACAGGAAAGCUGCAGAGGGAGCCGAGUCAGUUCCAGUGUUCAUACAGGGGCAGACUAUGGCAACUACAGCCUAAAAUGGGACCACCUCCAUACAGGAGGUCCUUUGUGUGCGAGCAGCUUGCUAAAGCAAGCACCUGGUGUGCAGUACUGGAGCCUGCCAUCUGAGGCCUGCCACAAAGAGGCAAGGAGAGAGGGUGAGCUGCACCCGACCCUGGAUCUACACAGAGAGGAAAAACAGUUCCCCAGGCCACCUGCUGGCCCUUAUUCUGUUGUUAUGGACUCUGAAAGUCAGGGAAGUGCCAGGAGGGGCAUGCUCAGAGGGAACCGAGGACUGGACUGAGAAAAUGAGCUGCAGUCCUCAUUGACCACUAAUGGGAACUGGAUUACCUGAUACAUCCUGGAGUCUGAACUGGCAGUCCCUAAGGAGCGUUUGCCCCUCUGGACAGAGCAUUCUGUCCCUCACAAGGACCUGGUUAGCAUCCUCUCUGGGAGGUGGCCUCGUGCCUUGGAGCUUUCUAGAGGCUGUCCCUCCUUUGGUAAAUUCUCACUGGUGGCUUGGCCUGAGCCAGCUGUCUUCCCUGCCUGCCUUUGACACAGCCUGGUCUUUCCUGGGCCAUGGGCUAGGCAGGCUCUUUUUGUUCCCUCACACUAGCCCUCCCCAUAACUUAUUUUGAAAUGGAGAAUGUUUCCCAAUCCACCACUUUCCAGGUGCAUACUGUUCCUCACUGAGUGUUCCCACGGGACAAACAGACGGGAGCAUAAUGGACACACGGCCCUCUCCCUGCACUUAUUGGAUCAACCACCUGACUUUCCCAGGCAUAAAUGGGAGGAUGGGACAACGUUCCAGAUGACGCCCAUGGGAGUUCUCUAUAAGAACAGGGAGAUACGGCGUGUAAUGAAGUAAAUUAGAAGUCAUGGCAGCCUCAGGCUAGCUCUUGAUGUUGAAUAACUUCUAUAAACCUGUGAACCCUGUUUUCCUCUUUAGUAUUACCAUGCAUGCAACUGGGUUUGUAAGUAACAGAGCUCUGAAUGUACUGGCUUACAAUAUCCUUGCAGGAACUGAGAAGACAGCAUAGUUAAUAAAGAAACCCCUCUGCAAACAAGAGGCCAAAAAGUUGGACUUGGUGCACACAUUUAUAACCCCUGCCUUGAGAGGGUAGGGAUAGACAGAUUCCUGGGUUUACUGACCAGUCAGUCUACGCUGUGAGCCCCAGGUGAAACACCUUGAAAAAAAAAAAAAGCUGAAAGUGGACAUGGUAUCUACAUCAGGAGUUCCUUCAUAGUAGAUGACGAGGUGCCCCAGUUUGAAAGACCAUAGGAAUGGCGGCCAUAUUGUGUUCACAUAUGCUGGAAGCUGGAUCCAUUUCUGCCUUUUCAAAAAGGCAGAAAUAUAAUAUCCCGCUCCACUUUCUCUUGCUCUGUGGAAAGCCAGCUGAGACACACAGGAACCAAAGCCUGAACAGCUAUCCACAGCCAGAGGACUCGGCCUGAGAGUAUCCUGGCUGAGCUCGGAGGAAACUUCUCCGCUAGGCGUGCCUUGAUGACUGUGUCCUGCAGACCUUUGACGUCAGCCGCUGGAGCUGCUUGAGCUGGAGGAGUCACAGAACUAAUCUGCACAACUUAGAGAAGAAUAAACAUUUCUGUUUGUUUAUUUCAGCUGCUAAAUUUGGACCUCACUUGUUAUAUGGCAUUAGCUGACUAGUACAAUCAUUUUCUAGCUAGACCCACUCCAGAUUUCUGUUACUAAGAGGAAAGGAGAUAGGAAUUGAGGGGCAACCUACAACUCCCUUCACAUGGACCUACCAAUAGGAUUAUUGUGAAAAUGACAGGAGCUAUUGCCGAAAUGGAGCUAGUACUGAGAAGUAUCUGGGGAGAAGUGGUCAUUAAUGCAGGCCUGUGUCCCAUCCGCCCAAGCUUUGCCAGGAGACACGUGAUGGCAAUUCUUGGUUGUCAACUUGACUAUAUCUGGAGUGAACUACAAUCCAGAAAUGGGGGCGGGCACACCCCUGACCCGUGUCUGAAGGCUGAAAGACACAAGCUUUUGAUUCAGAUCUUGAGGUGGGAUGGCAACUGCUCUCAAUCUGGAUCAACACACAUCUUUAAUCCAGGCCUUGAGGCACACCUGGGCGAGACCUUCUGCUGGAGGCCUAUAGAAGGACAAUGGAAGAAGGAAGCAGCACCCACUUUUUCUGCUUGCACUCACUUUGCCAGCACAUCCAUUGGAGCCUCUUUUAGGAUUCCAGCUUAUACAGAAGACCAGCUGAAUCAUCCAGUGUCAUGGGACUGAGAAAAUACGAGAUUCGUGGACUUUCCAUUCACAGCUGGCCAUUGUUGGGUUAGUUGGACUACAGCCUGUCAAUCAUUGCAAUAAGUUCCAUAUAUAUUCCAUGACUCUAGAGAACCCUGACUAAUACAAGACACAAUGGGGUUGUUUC
rnacentral:lncRNA from 1 species